rnacentral:rRNA from 1 species
CAAUAGACUACCCGAGGUAGUCCACGCCGUAAACGAUGGAUGCUAGCUAUUGGGGGAAUCGACCCCCUCCGAAGCGAAGCUAACGCGCUAAGCAUCCCGCCUGAGUAGUACGAGCGCAAGCUUAAAACUCAAAGGAAUUGACGGGGACCCGCACAAGCGGUGGAGCGUGUGGUUUAAUUCGAUGGUAAACGAAGAACCUUACCAAGGUUUGACAUCCCGGUAGCCGUUCUCCGAAAGGAGAAUUUCAUUUAGUUGGACCGGUGACAGGUGGUGCAUGGUUGUCGUCAGCUCGUGUCGUGAGAUGUUGGGUUAAGUCCCGCAACGAGCGCAACCCUUGAUUUUAGUUGCCAGCACUUCGGGUGGGCACUCUAGAAUGACUGCCGGUGACAAACCGGAGGAAGGCGGGGAUGACGUCAAAUCAUCAUGCCCCCUUAUGACCUGGGCUACACACGUACUACAAUGGCCAGUACAACGGGAAGCGAAGCCGCGAGGUGGAGCCAAUCCUAUCAAAGCUGGUCUCAGUUCGGAUUGCAGG